rnacentral:rRNA from 1 species
AUGGAUUCCCGCCGCCGCAUCGACCCCGUGGAAGAAGCGCGCCACCGGGAGGUGAUGGAAAGCCUCGGCGUGUACGACGCCGACUGGGCUCUGUCCAAGACCUUGGAGCAGUCCGACGUCCAGCCGGGGCAGAACCGGCUGCUCCUCACCAAGGAGACGGUGCGGGGCGGUUCUAUCCCCAAGUUCUUCCCGGAGCUGGAGGAGCUCCGGGACGACGGCCUGAACGCCCAGAACACAGUCACGGUCAAGGUCUUCGAUGCCGAGGGCCGCGAGAAGGAUGUGAACCUCCGCUACCUCAACUCUAACAGGGCGUACCGAGUCAUGGGGGCUCAGUGGAGGAGGCUAGUGGAGGAGAGCCGCAUGUGCAGAGGAGAGCGCCUCGAUCUGUACGCGUGCAGGCGCGGCGACGGCGAGCGCUGCCUCUUCGUGUUCAGGAGCAAGGGCGGUGGCGAUAGCUCCUGGUGCACCGGAUGUAAGCGCACCCGACCGCUUGCCGUCGCAGCUCGCUAUCCUGCAGCGGACGACGACGACGACGACUUCGUCCAUGUUGGCCGUGCUGGUGAUCGGAGCGGCAAGAGAGAUUGCAACAACCACUAUUACCUACACGCCGAUAGCACCGGAAGCCAUCGGAGAGAUCGUGGCAAAAAGCACAAGCGAGCUAAGAGCGGCCAUGCCAGGAGAGAAGAUCAUAUGCGGGUUGUGGUGGACGACGACGUGAACGCUCUUGAUUUCCAGGGUGAUCACGGAUGUUACAAAGCCGAGAGGAGAAGGGUAGAUAAAGCACCUUGGACAUUGCCGAACUACAGUGGCAAGGAACAAGAAGCUGCCAAAGGCCUCUUAAUGUUGAAAUAUGCUAUUUUUGCUGAGCACUAUAAUGGUAGCAUUUAA